CUGUAAUAUGAGCAGGUUAGUCUGCAGUAGAGCAUGUGCUGCUGAGCUGUGGGCACAGGGAAUGUGAGGGGACAGACCACUGUCUUCCCAAGAUGUCCCCCUACCCCUUCUCUACAACUGCAGCCCGGCUACUCCAGCAGAUACAGAGAGGUGACAGGCUGGGAGACCGCUCCAACUUAUAUUCAGAAAUAAGACAGUUCUGGAGAAAUAUGCAAUGGCAGAGAACAGCAAAUGCUUUCUCUGUCCCACCCUCAAGUGUCGCAUAUCGCCCCUUCCUCUGAGGUUCC
rnacentral:lncRNA from 1 species